CAGUAGCUGGUCUGAGAGGACGACCAGCCACACUGGGACUGAGACACGGCCCAGACUCCUACGGGAGGCAGCAGUGGGGAAUUUUGGACAAUGGGCGAAAGCCUGAUCCAGCAAUGCCGCGUGUGUGAAGAAGGCCUUCGGGUUGUAAAGCACUUUUGUCCGGAAAGAAAUCCUUGGCUCUAAUACAGUCGGGGGAUGACGGUACCGGAAGAAUAAGCACCGGCUAACUACGUGCCAGCAGCCGCGGUAAUACGUAGGGUGCGAGCGUUAAUCGGAAUUACUGGGCGUAAAGCGUGCGCAGGCGGUUUGCUAAGACCGAUGUGAAAUCCCCGGGCUCAACACUAGGGAACCUGCACUUGGUGACUGGCAGGCUAGAGUAUAGGCAGAGGUGGGUGUAGAAUUCCACGUGUACGCUAGUCGAAAUUGUCGUAGAGAUUGUGGAGGAAUACUCGAUUGAGCGAAAGGCAAGCCUCCCUGGGCCAAAUUCUGACGCAUCAUGCACUGCAAAUGCGUUGGUGGAGCAAAUCAGGGAUUAGAUAGCCCUGGUAGUCCACAGCCCUAAACGAUGUCUAACUAGUUGAUGGGGAUUCA
rnacentral:rRNA from 1 species